AUGCAACGCGAAGAACCUUACCUGGUCUUGACAUCCACGGAACUUUCCAGAGAUGGAUUGGUGCCUUCGGGAACCGUGAGACAGGUGCUGCAUGGCUGUCGUCAGCUCGUGUUGUGAAAUGUUGGGUUAAGUCCCGCAACGAGCGCAACCCUUAUCCUUUGUUGCCAGCGAUUCGGUCGGGAACUCAAAGGAGACUGCCAGUGAUAAACUGGAGGAAGGUGGGGAUGACGUCAAGUCAUCAUGGCCCUUACGACCAGGGCUACACACGUGCUACAAUGGCGCAUACAAAGAGAAGCGACCU
rnacentral:rRNA from 1 species